UAAGUGUUAAUUUAACUUUCUAAAAUAUUAAUUUGUCAAAUUUAAAAUACUCUAAGUACACUUAU
rnacentral:tRNA from 1 species